AUGGAAAGAGUACUAAGUUGCAAGGGGACCGUUCCAGCGCUCUGGCCGGUCGACCGGUGCCGAGUAGCGCUCCUGCGCCCACCGAUAUAUGAACCGUCUCGGUCCAGACCAGACAGAUCAGCGGUGAGCCCUAGCUCCCCCCUCCAUCCCUACCCGCCGCCGUCUUGCCGAAGGGCGAGCGUGGCAUGUGAUACGCGACGCCCAGCUCUGCUCGGCUCCGGGGCUGACGGCGGACGCGUCCCGGCACCUAGUGUUUCACCUGCUGUUUGCUCACACGGCCGAGCUGAACUCGCAGGUAUGUCUACUUCCCGAUCUGCAGAAGAAACCUCCCAGGUGGCAAUUACUUUUUUGGACAGUGAUGAUGAUGAAGGCAAGGCCCCAUUAUCCUUCGAGAGGGCAAAUAAGACUGUCAGUACUGUGAAAGACAUACCUUCCAUUGUGAAUCCUGAUAUUUUCGGCAACAUUGGUGACGAUGCCCCAUUAUCCUUUAGGAGGGCUGGUGAAGAACAUGGGCCCAGGUUAUCCUUCAAGAGGGCAAGUACCUCCGUACUGAAGAACAGGCGCUCAUUUGUGAGUCCUGAUACUUUUGGCAACAUUGGUGGCAAUGCCCCAUUAUCCGUCAGGAGGGCUGGCGAAGAACAUGGGCCCUGGUUAUCCUUCAAGAGGGCAAGUACCUCUAUACUGAAGAACAAACGCUCAUUUGUGAAUCCUGAUAUUUUCGGCAACAUUGGUGACAAUGCCCCAUUAUCCUUUAGGAGGGAUGGUGAAGAACAUGGGCCCGGGUUAUCCUUCGAGAGGGCAAUUACCUCUCUCAAGAAUAGGCGCUCGUUUGUGAAUCCUAAUAUUUAUGCCCCAUUAUCCUUCACGAAGGCUGGUGAAGAACAUGGGCCCUUGUUAUCCUUCAAGAGGGCAAGUACCUCGGUUGUGAAUCCUACUUUGUUUGACAAUGAUGAUGUCAAGGCCCCAUUAUCCUUCAGGAGGGCAACUACCUCCGUGAAGAACACGGCCUCGAUUACAAAUCCUGUUAUUGACAAUGAUGAUGACGAGGCCCCAGUACUUUCUUUCGAGCAAAAAAGUGAAGAUCAUGCAAAAUCAGGGAGUGGAAAUGGUGGAUCACAAGGUGGAAGACCCAAGAAGAAAUAUAAGGGAACCACAUCGAUACCAAGCACUGAAGAAACCAUGGAACACAAAGCGUCAAAUCAAGGACAACAAUACUCAAUCUCAAGGUGCAUGGAGGUGUUGCAUGGCAUGGAUGAUGUAUCCGACGAGAUCAAGGUCCUUGCCUCCGAUGUUUUGAAGGAUGCAUCAAGUCGAGAGUUUUUUCUAUGCUAUGAACCAAGACUCCGUGGUUUGUGGUCGAAGAAGGAAAUGUGCAUCAGGGCAAUCCUUCCAUUAUUAUGUGAUAUGACUGUUGAAGUGUUGAUGCUGCUCAUAAAUGAACAUGCUGCCAAUCUCAAGCACUUUCUGGCUCAUAAGUUCAAGUCUUCGUGCAAAUGUGAAACUGAUUAG
rnacentral:rRNA from 1 species